CCCAAACCUUAUUUUUUGCUUUCUCGCAGCACCCUAGUGAAUCUUGAAAUUUUCCUUAAUAAACCUUUUUACGAUCCUAAACCAAAAUUCAAUAUAAAUUCAAUAAAUUUACCAUUUAACAAACUCCCAAUUAUCCACUUAUGGGUUCAAACCAAUUUUCAAAUUAAUAACUAUUUUACGAAUUCAAACUAGUUCAAUUCCUUACACUAUAUCAAUGUAAACCAUAUGUACGAUCAUUCUUUGACAUUACAGUUGAUUAGGAACGUUUGAGUAAACACAAUCAAUAAUAUACUGGAAAAUUAGUAGUUAAUAAUGAUUAAAUUCCUUCAUUUGAUCAAUCCAUAACCUUUACCCUACAACUAUGUGGAAACAACAAUUAAUUUUACGCUUAAUUACAUUUACGCUUCCCGAUUUGUGAGUUUUGAAUGCCCAAAUGAUGUAGAACGAUUUUUCCUAGUUGACAUGGGUUUAAUAGCUGAUUAGGAGGAUUCAAGAACUCAAAUUAUGGCUGGAACUAAAUGGGAAAGACUCAAGAAACAAAAUAGCCCCCUGUUCUACACAUAUGCGCACGUACCACCACCCAUAGUGGCUGAAAUUGGGGCUAAAUUUUAAAAUGGUUUGAGACCUCAUUAAAAUCUAAAAAAAUACCUAAAACAUUUAAAAUCUCCAAAAUUCUAUAUUAAACAAUAAUAGAGAGAAAAUAGAUCUUACCCAAGCUAGUUGAGAGAAAUAACAAAUUCACCUUCUUGGCAAUGUUUGGGAUCGAUUUUGGAGUUCAAUAUUUCCUAUUUAGGGCUAUUUAUUUGGGGAAAAUUUCAGUAAUAUAGUAAAGGAGACGGUGUAGAAUCUUGAUGCAAAAAGCAGAAUAAGAAGACGGUGAAAGGAGAGGUGUAGGAAACGACAACAAUGGUGGGAAAGGAAAAAGAAACAAAAAAAUAAAGAUGAAGAGAGAGAGAGAGGGGGUUAGGGGGUUAAAGAAGGCUAAGGUAGAAGAAAAAUGGAUUAAAAGGCUGAUUAUUUUGAUAAAAAAUUGUAUUUAUACCUAGGUUUACUAGGCUUGGACGACAACACAUGAGAAAAAUAAGGGAAUUUGCAAAAAUCCAUUUAUUUUGUAAGAGUUGAGACUUAAACUUGGGCUAUUUAUUUGGGGAAAAUUGCAGCAAUAUAGUAAAGGAGACGGUGUAGAAUCUUGAUAUAAAAAGCAGAAUAAGAAGAUGGUGAAAGGAGAGGCGUAGGAAACGACAACAAUGGUGGAAAAAGAAAAAGAAACAAAAAAAUAAAGAUGAAGAGAGGGAGAGGGGGUUAGGGGGUUAGGGGGUUAGAGAAGGCUAAGGUUGAAGAAAAAAGGAUUCAAAGUACUACAGCAAAACAAACUUUUAGCGGCGUUUUUUGUCUUUAGCGGCGCUUAAAAGUGUCGCUAAAACUAUUAGCGGCGUUUUCACAAGCGUCGCAAAAAACACCGCUAUGCAACAAAAUUUUGUAGCAUUUAUUUAAAAAAAAGUCGCUAAAGACCAUGACCUUUAGCGGCGCUUCUUCAAAAAACGCCACUAAAGACCAUGGCCUUUAGCAGCGCUUCUCCCAAAAACGCCGCUAAAGACCAUAACUUUUAGUAGCGUUUUUUUUGCAAACGCCGCUGUAUAACAGACCUUUAGCGACGCUUUUUUCAUAAACGCCGCUAAAAAAUAUAAAUUUAAAAAAAUAUAUAUUUUAAUUAAAUAAUAUUUAUUUUCUAUGAUAAAUAUUAUAUUAUGUUUUUUGUUUUAAAUUUGAACUUUAAACCAUACACAAUUUUUAAAAAAUCAUUUAUAUAUAACUCAACAGAAAUUAUGUUCAAAGAUUCGUUGCGUCACUAAACAAAGAAAAAUGAUUUACACAAAUAAAUAAAAGAUAAGAGAAAAUGAAGGUUCUAAUGAGCAAACUAUUUUAUAAGCAAUCAGAAAGAAUAGUACCGGAAAUUCUUAAUAUCCUACUUGAAGAAAGAUCGAAAAAUAUAAAGAGGAUGAGAAUGAGUACAAUGAAGCAUCUUUAAGUUGAACCAUUCUUAAUGUCAGGUUCCUUACCUGUCUCAGGGAGAAAACACUUGCACACAACAAAGACAUGAUGUCCCUUUCUCCAUUUGACUUAAUCACCCACAUUCUCUCAUACCCUUUUUGCCAACAACAAUUGUUCAUGUUCUUCUCUUAUUCUCUGUAUUUGAUGAGAAAAUUAGUUCAUAGCUGUGAUACUUUCACAAUAUUGGCCUGAAAUACCCUACAAAUCAAUACCAUAUUGUAAAAUCUCCAAUAUUCUUAUCAUGUUAAGGUGUUUAUUGAUAAAUUUCUUAAGAGAAAUGUUAACCAAUGCCGUGUAAUUAAUGCAUCACUUUUUUCUUGAAUUCAGUUAAAGUAAGUAAUGUAUUAAAUGUUAGAAAAUAUCCUUAAAAUGAACUGUUCAAGACUCCUGAAAGGUUGUGGGUUCAAUAGCUUAACAACAAUCACUUGUAACGCACGACAAGAAUGGGUUUUUACAGUUCAUUUGUCAACUUAAGAACACUUGAUUAUAAUGUGGUAAAAGAGGUUUGAAUAUAAAAAAGAAGCAUUCAGAGUAUGACUAGACCUCCAAUUGAUCAAACAAAAGAAUACAUAAAUAAGAAAUCAUCAAGGCAAGAUGUAGACCAAAAUGCCAGCUUUGAACAACUCUCAUAGCUUACCUCCACAUCUUGAACUGCUUGUUCCCUUGUAAUUUCCUUUUGCUGGCGAGAACGUUUGAGAAAGCCAAUGCAUAAGAUUCCCUGACAAAUUAUUAUCAGUACAAUCAAGGAGUAAACAUAAACUCAACUCAAAAUCACAGUUCUGAAGCCUUUGCUCAAUUCCACCCCAAACUAUAUUUUACCUCCUACUGUUGUUUAACGUUAUAUAGAAAUUAUUCUUUAGUUCUAAUAUCUAAAAUUACAAGCACAAAAGCAAUAUCAAGGUCUGAUGAACAGUUAGAUUUGACUAAAAAUACCAGUAAAUCCAAUAAGCCCUAAUUAUAAAUCUAAAGAUUUAAAAUCUAACUUUGGAACAAAUUAUAACACAAAACUAACAACAAAAAAAUACAAAAUAGACAAACAAUCACGCAACAAAACUAGAGCAAAUACAAGAAUUUAAAAAAAGAAAAAAAAAGAUGAUAAUAAAGGACAAUAGCUAGAACAUUCCAACAUGAAAAUAUUCAGUAUGAUUCAGUAUGAAUAGUAAGAAACAGCUUGCCUACCUCAGCAGCUUUCAAACUUGAAGACAGGUACUAAUAAUAGUAAUGGCACAAGGCAUCAGGCACAGAUGUUAGCAAGUUUGCCCAAACAUCAAGGUUCUGAUCUGUAACCUGAGGUUAAACAACAAAUUAGCUGUGAAAUAUGCAGAUUCACCAGCUUAGGCAGCUGCUUCAUACCCCUUCAGGGCCUCAAAAUGUAUUUGUCCUAGAGAAAGAUAAAGAUAUACCACAAAGAAAAUAUGAAAAUCAGAUUCUAUGAACUCUAUAAAUUGUUAAAGCUUGUCUUCUGGCCAGAAAAUCAAGAAAGAAGAUAACUUGGGUUCUAACAUCAAAUGCAAAUAACUCCCAGUCAGGCUUUUCUAUUUUUCAAACUAACU
rnacentral:lncRNA from 1 species